UACGGAGGGUGCAAGCGUUAUCCGGAUUCACUGGGUUUAAAGGGUGUGUAGGUGGCGCGCUAAGUCGGGUGUGAAAUUUCGGAGCUUAACUCCGAAACUGCAUUCGAUACUGGCGUGCUUGAGGACUGGAGAGGAGACUGGAAUUCAUGGUGUAGCAGUGAAAUGCGUAGAGAUCAUGAGGAAGACCAGUGGCGAAGGCGGGUCUCUGGACAGUUCCUGACACUGAGACACGAAGGCCAGGGGAGCAAACGGG
rnacentral:rRNA from 1 species